GCAUGGAGUCCCCGGCCCAAGGGGAACCGAAUUUACGUCCCAAACGAAAGUAUCCCAUUUACCCAUUUACAUCCGAUCCGAUGCGAUCCGAUUAAUCAGACGGACAGUAGGGGAAGUAGCAUCUGUGCAAGCUAAAAAUCAAAACGCCAAGAAGAGUGUAUUGUGUAUUGCGUAAGCAAUGUCGACGGUCCCAGAAUCAUCGUCGGAAGGGAAACCAACGCUGCCUCUGGGCGAGUACUCUACACGCCACGAUUCGCAGACUUUAGAUCGAGCUGCGACGCCGUGGGUCGACUAUGCUGUCGAGCAAGCUCGUACAUACCAGAAGGCUGCCCAGGAGGCUGUCGAGUCCGCAAUUGAAGCCUCCAGAUCCCGCCUUUCUCAGAUUCGGUCAACAUCCUCGGCUCAUUUCCAGCAAACCGUCGACUCUUUACAAGAUGUCAAAUCUGAGUAUGUUACUUAUGAGGAGCUUUUGUUUGGAAAGCUUAAAGAGGGUAUUCUUAUUGCAGCUUCACAUCCGAUGCUGACAGGCGGAAUUGCUGCUGGUUUGGGUUUUCUAGCACUGAAAAGACCACGACGCUUUUUGUACUACAACACCUUGCGCUUGUUCGUAAGUGAAGAGUCCAUGCUUUCUAGAGCUGAUGCGAAAGUAAAGGAGUUGCGGCAAUCAAUUGAUCUUUUAAAGGCUGAGACUGAGAAGUUGGAGAAGAGUGCAAUACAAGCAGAAGAAGAAAUGAUACGGGGAAAAACAAAGCUCAGUUUUCAAUUGCAGACAUGCUGGGAAGCAGAUACGCGGUGUAAUUCGCUCAGCUUACAAGAUUGAAAAACAUGCUGCUGGUAUGCAAAUGCCAUGUGUUGCUUUGGGCAAAUUGAAGUUGGUAAUGAUUUCAGGCCUUGCUUCUGAGGCAAAGCGAGAAAGGAAUGCAUUAACAAAGGAGGUCACGAAGAUUAGCAAUUAUGGGAUUUCAGUCUAAAGAAAUCUAUGACCAACAUUCUCAGGUUCAAGGCCAGCGCAAGUUAUUUGUGAUCUUAAGCGCAUUGAGGCCUUUACAUUGAAUAUUCUUAUAUAAAUAUUUUAAUUAAUAUAUAUUAUUUUAUUUUGCUUUUC